rnacentral:rRNA from 1 species
AGUGAACGCUGGCGGUAGGCCUAACACAUGCGAGUCGAACGGCAGCACAGUAAGAGCUUGCUCUUACGGGUGGCGAGUGGCGGACGGGUGAGGAAUACAUCGGAAUCUACUUUUUCGUGGGGGAUAACGUAGGGAAACUUACGCUAAUACCGCAUACGACCUACGGGUGAAAGCAGGGGAUCUUCGGACCUUGCGCGAUUGAAUGAGCCGAUGUCGGAUUAGCUAGUUGGCGGGGUAAAGGCCCACCAAGGCGACGAUCCGUAGCUGGUCUGAGAGGAUGAUCAGCCACACUGGAACUGAGACACGGUCCAGACUCCUACGGGAGGCAGCAGUGGGGAAUAUUGGACAAUGGGCGCAAGCCUGAUCCAGCCAUACCGCGUGGGUGAAGAAGGCCUCCGGGUUGUAAAGCCCUUUUGUUGGGAAAGAAAAGCAGCAGGUUAAUACCCCGCUGUUCUGACGGUACCCAAAGAAUAAGCACCGGCUAACUUCGUG